rnacentral:rRNA from 1 species
GACGAACGCUGGCGGCGUGCUUAACACAUGCAAGUCGAACGGAAAGGCCCUGCUUUUGUGGGGUGCUCGAGUGGCGAACGGGUGAGUAACACGUGAGUAACCUGCCCUUGACUUUGGGAUAACUUCAGGAAACUGGGGUUAUUACCGGAUAGGAGUUCCUGCUCCUUGGUGGGGGUUGGAAGGUUUGGUCGGUUGGGAUGGACUCGCGGCUUAUCAGCUUGUUGGUGGGGUAGUGGCUUACCAAGGCUUUGCCGGGUAGCCGGCCUGAGAGGGUGACCGGCCACAUUGGGACUGAGAUACGGCCCAGACUCCUACGGGAGGCAGCAGUGGGGAAUAUUGCACAAUGGGCGGAAGCCUGAUGCAGCAACGCCGCGUGCGGGAUGACGGCCUUCGGGUUGUAAACCGCUUUCGCCUGUGACGAAGCGUGAGUGACGGUAAUGGGUAAAGAAGCACCGGCUAACUACGUG